AACGAACGUUGGCGGCGUGCUUAACACAUGCAAGUCGAGCGAGAAAGCCCCCGCAAGGGGGUGAGUAAAGCGGCGCACGGGUGAGUAACACGUGGGUGACGUACCCUCCGUUGGGGGAUAACACCUCGCAAGGGGUGCCAAUACCGCGUACGACCCCCCGAUUUCGGUCGAGGGGUGAUAGGAGCAAUCCGGCGGAGGAUCGGCCCGCGGCCCAUCAGCUAGUUGGCGGGGUAAAGGCCCACCAAGGCUACGACGGGUGGCUGGUCUGAGAGGAUAGCCAGCCACACUGGAACUGAGACACGGUCCAGACUCCUACGGGAGGCAGCAGUGGGGAAUCUUGCGCAAUGGGCGAAAGCCUGACGCAGCGACGCCGCGUGGGUGACGAAGGCCUUCGGGUCGUAAAGCCCUGUGGGGAGGGACGAACAAGCAGCAAUGCCCUGACGGUACCUCCUUAGCAAGCACCGGCCAACUACGUGCCAGCAGCCGCAGUAAAAC
rnacentral:rRNA from 1 species